GCCUGGCCGGCUCAGUUGGUAGAGCAUGCAACUCUUAAUCUCAAGGUCAUGAGUUCAAGCCCCACGUUGGGCA
rfam:Felis catus isolate Cinnamon breed Abyssinian chromosome B1, whole genome shotgun sequence.